AAAUUGAAGAGUUUGAUCAUGGCUCAGAUUGAACGCUGGCGGCAGGCCUAACACAUGCAAGUCGAACGGUAACAGGAAGCAGCUUGCUGCUUYGCUGACGAGUGGCGGACGGGUGAGUAAUGUCUGGGAAACUGCCUGAUGGAGGGGGAUAACUACUGGAAACGGUGGCUAAUACCGCAUAACGUCGCAAGACCAAAGAGGGGGACCUUCGGGCCUCUUGCCAUCAGAUGUGCCCAGAUGGGAUUAGCUKGUUGGUGAGGUAACGGCUCACCAAGGCGACGAUCCCUAGCUGGUCUGAGAGGAUGACCAGCCACACUGGAACUGAGACACGGUCCAGACUCC
rnacentral:rRNA from 1 species